UACGUAGGGGGCAAGCGUUGUCCGGAAUCAUUGGGCGUAAAGAGCGCGUAGGCGGUCCGGUAAGUCCGCUCUGAAAGCCCGGGGCUCAACCCCGGGAGGCGGGCGGAUACUGUCGGGCUAGAGUCCGGAAGAGGCGAGUGGAAUUCCUGGUGUAGCGGUGAAAUGCGCAGAUAUCGGGAGGAACACCAGUGGCGAAGGCGGCCGGCUGGGGGUGACCUGACGCUGAGGCGCGAAAGCGUGGGGAGCGAACCGG
rnacentral:rRNA from 1 species